UAACUAAGCGGAGGAAAAGAAACUAACAAGGAUUCCCUUAGUAACGGCGAGUGAACAGGGAAGAGCCCAGCGCCGAAGCCUCCGUCCCGCGCGGGCGGCAGGCAAUGUGGCGUUUGGGAGAAACCUCUCCUUCCGGAACCAGUCCGGGAGCCCAGGUCCCCCUGACCGGGGCCAUCGCCCGUUGAGGGUGCAAGGCCCGUUCGGCUCUUGGCGUCCGGAGGACGGUUUUUUUCUCCCGGGAGUCGGGUUGCUUGGGAGUGCAGCCCUAAGCGGGUGGUAAACUCCAUCUAAGGCUAAAUACUUCCACGAGACCGAUAGCAAACAAGUACCGUGAGGGAAAGUUGCAAAGAACUUUGAAGAGAGAGUUCAAGAGUACGUGAAACCGCUCGUAGGCAAACGGGUGGGCCCUCGAAGGCAAGCAGAAGGGGAUUCAACCCGUUGGCAGUCGACCGUGCACCUCGGUUUUUCUCGAAACGGAUCCGAGAGACCGGCCCGGGGUGCCGCUGUCGCCAGCGGGCGCACUUCCCCUUCUCGCGUCCCGUCGAUUCGUUCGGCGGGACCGAACGCCGCGACCGGUCGGGAGAAACGACGGUGGCCAAGCGGCGAGUUCGGGCAGGUAUCCUACUCGUCUUUUCCGUUUCCUCCGGGGGCGGGACUGCUUGUAGGAGAUAGCCCGUCUCGACCCGGCUCCGCCGCCCGACCGUGGUUUAGAACCGAGGUUCGACAACCGCGCACGCGCUUACGACGCUCGAGCCCGUCCCGCGCGUGGGGUUUUGGCCGCUGACAGAAAAAAUCUAAUCCCCCCCGCUCAUUGCGGUUACACGAGGCGGCCUCCCCACGUUCUUAGGACGUGUUGCUCUCCAAGUUGAAAAAAACAGCGCUGUGGUCGGCGGCGAGUAGGUCGGUAACCCACCCGACCCGUCUUGAAACACGGACCAAGGAGUCUAACAUGUGUGCGAGUCGUAGGGUUGGUGCUAAACCCGAAGGCGAAGUGAAAGUAUAGGUCGGUUCGCCCGGCCGAGGCGGGAUCCGUUUCCCUUCAGUUGUCGCCACGCUGCGGCAGCCGAGGGAGGCGGCGCACCGCCGGCCCGUCUCGACCGCAUCGUCGGUGAGGCGGAGCAAGAGCAUACACGUUGGGACCCGAAAGAUGGUGAACUAUUCCUAGGCAGGACGAAGCCAGAGGAAACUCUGGUGGAGGUCCGUAGCGUUUCUGACGUGCAAAUCGAUCGUCAGACCUGGGUAUAGGGGCGAAAGACUAAUCGAACCAUCUAGUAGCUGGUUCCCUCCGAAGUUUCCCUCAGGAUAGCUGGCUCUCGAGAGACACAGUCUCAUCCGGUAAAGCGAAUGAUUAGAGGCCUUGGGGCCGAAACGACCUCAACCUAUUCUCAAACUUUCAAUGGGUGAGAAGUCCGGCUUGCUCGACUGAAGCCCGGACGUUUUUAAAACGGAUGCGAGUGCCCAGUGGGCCACUUUUGGUAAGCAGAACUGGCGCUGUGGGAUGAACCAAACGCCGGGUUACGGCGCCAAAUGCGACGCUCAUCAGACACCAUGAAAGGUGUUGGUUGCUAUAGACAGCAGGACGGUGGCCAUGGAAGUCGGAAUCCGCUAAGGAGUGUGUAACAACUCACCUGCCGAAGCAACUAGCCCUGAAAAUGGAUGGCGCUCAAGCGUCGAGCCUAUACCCGGCCGCCGGGGCAGAGCCCGUCCCGAACGGCCCCAGACGCCCCGGCGAGUAGGAGGGUCGCGGCGGCGAGCGGAAAAGGGUUGGGCGUAGGCCCGCCUGGAGCCACCGCCGGUGCAGAUCUUGGUGGUAGUAGCAAAUACUCGAGUGAGAACCUUGAGGACUGAUGUGGAGAAGGGUUCCAUGUGAACAGCAGUUGAACAUGGGUCAGUCGGCCCUAAGGAAUAGGGAAAUCCCGUUCCGAACGGGGGGUUUAUAUAUAAAGAAAACCCCCGCAUUAACCGAAAGGGAAUCGGGUUAAUAUUCCCGAACCCGGACACGGAGAUCGGGCCCUCUGUGGUCCAGUGCGGUGACGCAAACACCCUCGGAGACGUCGGCGGGAGUCCCGGGAAGAGUUGUCUUUUCUUUGUAAGGAACGGAAUCCCUGGAAUCGGUUCGCCCGGAGAUAGGGAUGUGGUUUCCGUAAAGCACCGCGCCUCCUGCGGUGUCCGGACAGCUCUCGUCGGCCCUUGAAAAUCCGAGGAAGGUAGUGCGAUUUUCGUGCCGGGCCGUACCCAUAUCCGCAGCAGGUCU
rnacentral:rRNA from 2 species